rnacentral:misc_RNA from 1 species
GAUGAAGAACGCAGCGAAAUGCGAUAAGUAAUGUGAAUUGCAGAAUUCAGUGAAUCAUCGAAUCUUUGAACGCACAUUGCGCCCGCCAGUAUUCUGGCGGGCAUGCCUGUUCGAGCGUCAUUACAACCCUCAGGCCCCCGGGCCUGGCGUUGGGGAUCGGCGGAAGCCCCCUGUGGGCACACGCCGUCCCUCAAAUACAGUGGCGGUCCCGCCGCAGCUUCCAUUGCGUAGUAGCUAACACCUCGCAACUGGAGAGCGGCGCGGCCAUGCCGUAAAACACCCAACUUCUGAAUGUUGACCUCGAAUCAGGUAGGAAUACCCGCUGAACUUAAGCAUAUCAAUAAGCGUAGGA